UCCAGGGUAGCUUAGUGGACAUGGCAUCUGCCCGGUAAGCGGAACAUUGUGGGUUCGAUUCCCAUCCCUGAAC